ensembl:lncRNA
GACUUUAGAAAAAGUCUAAAUUGCACAUCUUUGGGACCUUGAGGGGAUUACUGGAAGCUCCUUAAGGACAAAGACAAAUACAUUGGGAAAGAUGGAAAUAUAGCACAUUUAAAAAAAUAAUAAAGGGGAAACUUUGGGAAUGUUUACUUCUAAAGAGACAGGGGAAAGAUGGAGAAUCAUUAACACCCCACAGGAAGUGAGUGUGACAGCUGUGUUUGCACUCUCAGCCAGCCUGCCUUCAAUAUCUAGCUUCUGUUUCCUUUUUUUUUUAAAGCGUGAUUGCUGUCUCAAAUAAAUACAAAGCCGUGGUUUUCUUGCUUAGUAAGUACGUGUUUCUGACCCUAAUUCUCCUUGAAAAUCCCUCUGACGUACAAAGCAGGGGAGUCCUGAAAUACAAUGUACAGCUUAUUAAAUUCAGCAUUUCAAACGCUGACGCAGUAGCACCUUGCAGGUAAAAGAAAGAGACCUUCAGAUCAGGCCCACCUGAGUCUGGCAAGUGGCGGGUGGGGCAGGCUCCCCGACUCCCCUGCAUCCGCAACCCCUCCGAGAUCCUAUCCACCCACUUUCAGAUGCACAGGUGGGUAGAAAUCUCCCGGGUGUCCUAGUGUAACGUACAAGGCACUUCUGUUUGUUUAUGAAUGUCUAAUUCGUUGUAAAUAAAAGAGGAGAACAGGAGCGACUGACGCUGCCAUGAUGCUGACGUCACUUGGUAGCCGUGUUCAAAUUCCAUCUCCUCGACAAGCUGCACAACCGCCCUGAGCCUUGGUUUCCUUCCGGGGGCGAUGUUUCCGCUCAGCGUGGCUGAGACGGUUGAGUGAGAUGGUAGAGGCAGCUCUGUGAGCAUAGGGCCCAGAACAGCAAGCGCUCAGUAACUGUCAGCCCUGGACUGAGGGAGCCCAUUCAUGCAGGGGUGGAUUUAGAGCCUCAGACCAGUGCAUUCGUGAAUAUCGGGCCUGAAGCAGGAUCCUAAGACCCAUGGCCAUGUACCAGCACCUGGGAACUCAACCUGGGAUGAACCUGCAUCUUAGUCAUUCUGGUAAUUCACAGAGCCGAGGCCAGAAAAUGUUCAAUCAGUAAAUGAAGGGGAGAGAAGAGUCUAAGACUCUCAACAGAGUCUACCACCUUGGGUAGUAGUGGACAACCACAGACCACCCCAGGGAGCUGGACCUCAUCCAAGGAGUGGGUGGUUUCAUUGUAAUAAUUUUACUGGAAAUGUUCUGAGCAGAUUUCUGGGGAUCAUUCUAGAGUUAUCUUCCCUUCUCUCCAGGGGACUUUCUUGAUUUAUGCUGCUUUUCUGUGCCUUUCUAGGGAGCCCCGUGGAUCUCACCUAGUGUGACAACAGAUUGAAGGCUCUUUGGGAAAGCUGACUGUAAUUUGGAUAUGUCAUGUGAGGGGACCUGCCCUAAUCCAAACCUGGGCUGAAGCUGCUGCCUCUUCUGUGGUGGUGUGGGUAGGAGAAGAGGUCCAAUAAUUUCUCUUAGACAGAGAUUACACAGUUCUUAUUUUUGAAACAAAUUGACUACAUGAAUAUGUGUUAUCUAUUACCCAGUCAUAAAAAGAUUUUCCCUUCUAAAGCUUACAGUCAUUUCAGAGAAACAAGGUAUCCACAUAAGAUUAGAAAAUGGUAUGUGGUUAAGGGCCAUAGCCUUGGUUCAGAAAAAUGGCCCAAACUUUGUCUUGGAAAAGAGAGGGGUCAUUGAAACGUAGAGCUACUGGAGAUGGUCUCCUAGAGAUGAUGAGAAUUGAGCUGGACCUUGUAAAAUGAGGCAGAUUUGGAUACAAGGUAGAGAGUAGGAAAGAUUUCCUGGAAGACAGAAUAGCAUGAACAAAUGUUGGAAGUCAAUAAUGUAGAUCACAUAUUGGAACACAGGGGAAGAGCAGGCAAAUGGGCCUUGAAUGAUAGUACUUGAAGCACAAAAGAUAAGGUUAUUAGGUAGGGCGGGGCUCAGGAGUUAGGACCCCUGAAGGCCGUACUGAGCCAUUUAGACUUUAUCCUGUAGUCAAAUAGCUAAUAAGGGGUCAUUGGUGUAUGGAUGAGAGUUGCUGAAAAAAAACUGGAUGCAGAACCAAGCCCGGGGAAACUCUCGCAUGUAGAAACAGAAAAGGAGGAGCUAUCAGGGCACCGGAGAGGAAGGGAAAGAGCAGUAGUCGGAAAACCGGAAGAGAGGGGUGUCAAGGGUGCCUAGAUAGCAAGGAGUUUGAGAAAUGUAUCAUCAGAAUUUUUUGCUAACAAAAUCAAAUCUUCUCCUUUCCCCCACAUAUCUGCUCACCAGACCCUCCAAUCUUCAUGUCUUUCUUCAUUUUAGUCACUUUGUUGCAAGCAAGGAAAAAUCAAAUCGUGUACAUGAUCCUUGUCCACAUAUAGAUCUGAGAGGUAGCAUGGCAGAGUGAGAAAAGGGUAGCCUUUGAGGCAAAAAGAAUUUGUACCCUGGCUGCCAAUCAUUCACUGGGUGAAAUUAGUCAAGUUAUCUUAAGUUUUCUGAGUCUUAGUUGGUGGCACAUCUGCUUUUUCUGAAUUUCCAG